AUAUCAGGAGUUUCAGAGUUUAAUUACAACGCAAGGGAACACCGCAAAGGCUGCAAAAGCAAGGAGAGAGGGCUGGCAGAAAGUUGCUGACAAAUUGAACUCGUAAAUAAUUUAUUAUAUCAUAUUCCAUUAUAUCCUCUUUCACAUUAGAGCCACAACAGGACCCACUAGAACAUGGGAACAAGUAAAAGUGAAAUAUAAGAAUAUUCUACAGAAUGGUAAUAGUUAUCACUUAUAUUGCUUUUAGUCUCUUGAAAAGAGACCCUGAAAUAAUCUGUUUGUUUGUUUAUAACAGCAACCAAGAAAAGGGCAGAGCAAAUAAAGACAGGUGGUGGUCCUGCACCCCUCGUGUGUAUGUGUAUAUAUGAGGAAGGACAGGAAGGAUCCUGUCUAUCCCGCAAUAUACGCUGAAUUCUGGAAACUCUCCUUAUCAAUCUUGCACCUUCCGCAAUGGGUUGCUCGCGUACAAACGGACAGGACAUGGCUGCGACAGACUUCCCAAAUCCACCUUCGCUUUUAUAGCCGUGGUCUCUCAUCUUGAUUACACGAAGUAAUUUACUAUUACUACUCUAAAAUAUGAAUUACAUCUGAAAUAAUCAAAUACAUGUAAUAGAAUGAUUACUAGUACAUUUCCCUUUUUUUAGGAAAUGACCUGUAUGUAUCUGUAUGCAAUCAAUAAAAGAAUCAAAUACUGCAUUAUCUUUAGUUACAUUGAUAAUAUUUAUUUAUGGAGAAACAGUGGAGAAAUAUCGCUGUUGCUUUCGUAUAAAUGAAGCGGACAUACCUGAGUGGCCGCGAUCUAAUCCUGUUUACAUAAAGUAAGCCUGCUCCCGAGCAGGUUUACGCUUACGGAUCUGUUGCUAUGACAGCAAGUCCCGGAUGGGCUUCGGAGAACCGAACGAUCCAAGAUCACGCGAAAUCGUCAACAAUCAAAUCCAGC
ensembl:lncRNA